UACAGAGGGGGCAAGCGUUGUUCGGAAUUACUGGGCGUAAAGGGCGCGUAGGCGGCCUUCUAAGUCGAACGUGAAAUCCCUGGGCUCAACCCAGGAACUGCGUCCGAUACUGGAAGGCUUGAAUUCGGGAGAGGGAUGCAGAAUUCCAGGUAUAGCGGUGAAAUGCGUAGAUAUCUGGAGGAAUACCGGUGGCGAAGGCGGCAUCCUGGACCGACAUUGACGCUGAGGAGCGAAAGCCAGGGGAGCAAACGGG
rnacentral:rRNA from 1 species